UGAGGAAUAUUGGUCAAUGGGCGCAAGCCUGAACCGGCCAUCCCGCGUGAAGGAAGAAGGCGCUAUGCGUUGUAAACUUCUUUUCCAGGGGGAGAAUUUUUCCGUCGUGACGGGAAUUGACGGUACUCUGGGAAUAAGCAUCGGCUAACUCCGUGCCAGCAGCCGCGGUAAUACGGAGGAUGCGAGCGUUAUCCGGAUUUAUUGGGUUUAAAGGGUGCGUAGGCGGAUCAAUAAGUCAGUGGUGAAAUUCUGCAGCUUAACUGUAGACUUGCCAUUGAUACUGUUGGUCUUGAGUAUGGUCAAGGUAGGCGGAAUGUGUAAUGUAGCGGUGAAAUGCUUAGAUAUUACACAGAACACCGAUUGCGAAGGCAGCUUGCUGGGCCAAUACUGACGCUGAUGCACGAAAGCGUGGGGAUCGAACAG
rnacentral:rRNA from 1 species